UGGGGAAUAUUGGGCAAUGGGCGAAAGCCUGACCCAGCGACGCCGCGUGGGUGAUGAAGGCCUUCGGGUUGUAAAACCCUUUCGUGCGGAAAGAAUAGUCCUGUAGCGAAUAACUACGGGAUUUGACGGUACCGCAGGAAGAAGCACCGGCUAACUCCGUGCCAGCAGCCGCGGUAAUACGGAGGGUGCAAGCGUUGUUCGGAAUUAUUGGGCGUAAAGGGCGCGUAGGUGGUUGUGAUAGUCAGAUGUAAAAUCCUUCGGCUCAACCGAAGAAGUGCAGCUGAAGAAGCAUAACUAGAGUACAGGAGUGGGAAACGGAAUUACCGGUGUAGAGGUGAAAUUAGUAGAAAUGGGGAGGAAAGCCAGUGGCGAAGGCGGGUUCCUGGCCUGAUACUGACGCUGAGGCGCGAAAGCG
rnacentral:rRNA from 1 species